rnacentral:lncRNA from 1 species
AUAUUUUGUCUAAUCCUAACAGAAACCGUCAACUUAACUAACGGCGUCAGAAUAUUCCAUCAAAAUUGACGGAAUAUUCGUCGUCUUCAACCUCCAGCUCCGGUGACCGUCGUCGGCGCCGGAAACUGGGCAAAUUUUCAAACUCUUUAUUCUCCGUCGAUUCUCAACCAUUUCUCACGAAAUUUACACCAAAAUGAAGCCCUAAGUAUGUAGAAUCACGUUACACAAGUUUCAAGGUCUAAAAUCCACUAGAUCUUACCUGAGGAAGCGAGAUAAUCUGGCCAAAUUUGAAAAGCUUCGUUCUCAGUCCUCCGACGUUCAAAUUCUACCAACGAAGCACCCCAAAGCUCGUUAGAACCUCCUUGAGCUUGCUAUGGUCCUAAAAUUCACAAAAACUUAAGGGUUUAAAAGUUUGUGAAUAGUGACCAAUUCGGGGAUUAGAAAAACUAGGGAUCCUUACGGCCAAUUCCUUCGAUUCUUCUUCUUCAAGCUUUCUUAGAACCUCACUAAGCUUCCUAAGAGCUUCAAAUUCUUUGAAACAACCAUAUUUACGUCCACAUGAACAGUACGCAAAACUGGGGUUCAGAUUUCAUGAGUUUUCGAAGGUUAUAAGUUCCAAAAAUGGUACCAACAAACUCACAAGCUUACAAGGAUUCUAAAACUUACCUUUUCAGUCUCGAUUUGUGAAGAAAUGAGCAAGUUCCACCUUUGUCCGUACGUGCAUAGUGCACGGGAAGAAGAAACCGAGAGGGGAGAGAGAGAAGAAGUCCACGGGAGAGAGAGAUAAGUACUUUAGGUGAUGUGUGGUCUUCCUAAGACCCUAACCACACAAAAUGCACAUAAUUUUUAAUCCAGCUUAACUUUCCAAAAACUUAGGAAGGUAUGUUUUAUUCAAAUAAAUAAGUCACACAUACCUUAGUAACCUUUAAGGGUAAUUCUGUCAAUUCACAUCAACGAUAAAUGAAAUUUUGGGACGGGCUGUGACAAUCUACCCUCCUUAUAGAAUUUCAUCCUCGAACUUUAUACAACCAAUCAAUCCACUAAUACUGAGAAAACAACCUUGGAUACAUCUCUCUCAUUCGAUCUUCUCUCUCCCAAGUAGCUUCUUCCGCUAAGGGGUUCCUCCACAAUACUCUUACCAAGCUCACAGUCUUAUUCCUUAGAACCCUGUCUUUCCAAUCUAAGAUAGUCACUGGCUCCUCAUCAUACAUCAAAUCCGGAUUAAUCUCCAAAGGAUGAGGAGGAAUCACAUGUGAAGGAUCUGAAACAUAAUGUUGAAGCAUCGAGACAUGAAACACAUUAUGUACCUUAGAUAACUUCAGAGGCAACUCCAAUCUGUAAGCAACUUUACUAAUCCUUUCAGUGAUCUCAUAAGGUCCUAUGUACCUAGGACUUAGCUUGCCUUUCUUUCCAAACCGCACUACACCUAUCCGAGGUGACAAUUUCAAGAAUACCAAAUUACCCACAUCAUAUACUCGAUCAGUGGCAAGUCUAUCUGUUAAACUCUUUUGUCAAUCCUGGGCUGCUUUCAAGUUAGACUUAAUCACCUGAACAUUUUGAGUAGUUUCAUCCACAAUCUCUGGGCCCUCUAGCACUCUUUCGCCAACCUCUGACCAACACAAUGGUGUACGACAAGCUCUACUAUAAAGUGUCUCAAAUGGUGACAUACCAAUGCUCGAAUGAAAACUAUUAUUGUAGGCAAAUUCCAUCAAGUCUAGGUGAUCAUGCCAAGAAUCACUAAACUGUAAUACUGAAGAUCUCAGCAUAUCCUUUAACGUCUGAAUAGUCAUCUUUGAUUGUCCAUCUGUUUGAGGAUGAUAAGCAAUGCUGUAAAGCAAUUUCGUACCAAGAGCUUCCUGAAAAGCUAUCCAAAACUUAGAAGUAAAUCUUGGAUCUCGAUCAGAAAUAAUAUUCACUGGAACUCCAUGAUACUUCACAAUCUUCGUGAUGAACAACUUAGCCAAUUUAUUCAGGGGAUACUUUUCCCUUACUGGAAUGAAGUGUGUUGACUUGGUAAGCCGAUCUACAACCACCCAAACACCAUCAAAUCCAUUAUGUGUACGUGGAAGCUUAUACACAAAAUCCAUAGUUAUAUUUUCCCAUUUCCACUGAGGAACAGGAAGUGGUUGCAUCCGUCCAAAAGGCUUCUUUCUUUCAGCUUUGAUUUGCUGACAAACAAUACACCUACUUGCAUAUUAUGCAAUUUCCCUUUUCAUACCCGGCCAAUAAUAAAAUGGUCGAAUGGUAUGGUACAUCUUAGUUCCUCCUGGAUGCAUCGCAUAAGCCGAACAAUGUGCUUCAUCCAAAAUUUCUUUCUUUAGUUUCUCGUUAUUCGGCACAUACAUUCUGUUCUCUUGCAUAAGCAUGCCAUCCGAUUCUCGAAUCCUGAGGUCUUUCUUUUUCCUUUUAUUUCUCAAUCGGAUCAUUUCUUGGAUCUCUUCAUCAACCAUCUGAGCUUCAAGUACACGAUCGACCAAAACUGGCUUGACUUGGAAACUAGCAAGAAAAGCUUCUCUUCGCUUUUCUAUCUCCAACUUUACUCUAGUAGCUCUCAAAUCUGUAAGAAGAGGAACACGACAAGCAUACAAAGCAUUAAGUCGACCUUGAGGUUUCCUACUCAGUGCAUCAACUACCACAUUUGCACGACCCGGAUGAUACUCAAUAGUGCAGUCAUAAUCACUUAGUAACUUCAUCCACCUUCGCUGACGAAGAUUAAGAUCAUGCUGAGUAAAAAGGUACUGAAGACUCUUAUAAUUUGUGAAAAUCUUACAUUUCUCACCAUAGAGAUAAUGCCUCCAAAUCUUCAAAGCAAAAACAAUGGCUGCUAACUUAAGAUCGUGAGUAGGGUAAUUCCUUUCAUGAAUCUUUAACUUUCGAGAAGCAUAGGUGAUCACUCUCUUAUGCUGCAAUAAGACACAUCCCAAACCAUUCAAGGAAGCAUCACUGUAAAUCUCAAAGUUACCACUAUUGUCAGGAAGUACUAAUACUGGAGCAUGAGUGAGCCAAUAUUUCAGCUACUGGAAACUUUGCUCACAAUUAUCGUCCCACUCGAACUUAACAUCCUUCCUGGUUAACUUCAUUAGUGGUAAAGCAAUCAUAGAAAAAUCUUGAACAAACCGUCGAUAAUAACCUACUAGACCAAGAAAACUCUGUACCUCAGUGACGGUUCGUGGUUGUUCCCAAUUCUCCACUGCUGCUAUCUUUUGAGGAUCCACUUGAAUUCCUUGUGCCGAUACUACAUGUCCCAAAAAUGCCACUUGAUUCAACCAAAAUUGGCAUUUGCUAAACUUGGCAUACAACCGAUGUUCUCUUAAUUUCUUUAAUACCAAGUUAGGAUGUCGAAUAUGAUCUGCUUUUGACUUAGAGUAUACCAGAAUAUCAUCAAUAAAAAUAAUGACAAAUCUAUCAAGAUAUUGCUGGAAUACUUCAUUCAUUAACCUCAUGAAAGCUGCAUGUGCAUUAGUCAAUCCAAAUGGCAUCACCAAAAACUCAUAAUGUCCAUAACGGGUCCUAAAAGCCAUUUUAGGUACAUCUUCAUCUUUAAUCUUCAACUGAUUAUAGCCAGAUCUCAAAUCAAUCUUAGAGAACACACAUGCACCUUUAAGCUGAUCAAACAAAUCAUCGAUACGAGGUAAUGGAUAACGGUUUUUAAUCGUUACCCGAUUCAAUUACCUGUAAUCAAUACAUAAUCUCAAAGUUCCAUCUUUCUUUCUUACAAACAACACUGGAGCUCCCCAAGGUGAAGUAUUAGGUUGAAUGAAACCUUUAUCAGUUAAUUCCUGUAACUGAAUUUUCAACUCUCUCAAUUCAGCUGGAGCCAUUCUAUAUGGAGUCAAAGAUAUAGGAUUCGUACCUGGAAGCAAAUCAAUAGAAAACUCCACAUCUCUGUCUGGCGACAAUCCAGACAAAUCAUCUGGGAAUACAUCAGGAUAGUGCCUGACUACUCUAACUUCCUCCACAUUGCUAGGAACAACAUCAUUUAACACCACAUGUGCUAAGUAUCAUUGACAACCUUUUGAUAACAACUUCUUUGCUCUUAUGGCAGAAAGAACACCAUGUCUCACCCCACUUCUUUCACCCACUAAAGUAACUUUUGGUAGUCUAGGACGAUGAAAAGUAACUGAUUUCCUGUAACAAUUUUAUAUGGGCACGAUUAUAAUGUAACCAAUCUGCCCCUAAAAUCACAUCGAAAUCCACAAUAUCUAACGGGAUAAGAUUAGCUGGCAUAACUAUAUCAUCUACCAUCACUGGACACCCUGGAUAAACACUAUCAACAUAACAUUUGUCCCCUCUAGGCCUAGCAAACUCUAAUUCAAAUCCUAGAGGUGUAGGUGAGGUUGUGUCAUUUGAGCAAAUGUAUGAGAAAUCACAGAAUGUGUAGCACCACAAUCAAUCAAAACUCUAGAAAAGUGACCAAGGAUGUUUAACGUACCCAAUAUCAAAUCUAGAUGGUUCUGAACAUCUUGCAGUGAGAUGUGAUUAACACGUUCAUGAGCUUGCUGUGGUCUUCCACGACCUCUAUUACCUUGAUUACCUCGCCCCUGAGAAGUACAUCCCUAUCCUGUCUGGCUAGACUGCCUAGACGGUCCUGCACUACUAGCAGCAACCUCUCCCUGUCGGGGUUGACCUCCUUGAUGCCACUGAGAUCCGCUGGCUGGCAUGGAAGGAUAUGAAGUAUAACCUCUAGAAUCUUGGGAAUACCCAGUCUGAAAAUAAGGAUCUUGGGAAUACUGAUACUGUCUGGAAGCAUAGGGAGCAGCAUCACCCUGAUAGGGGUAAGCACCACCGCGACCCGUCUGACCAUAACUGCCUGAUUUAAAGUUCUGCUGAAUCGACGCUGGAGGUGGCAUAACAGACUACUGAGGCUUAUGUUAACUCUGGGGACACUGUGUAGCUCUAUGUCCCAACUGUCCACAAGUGUAGCAACCACCGCCACUUCUCCUACAUUCUCCAUGAUGUCUGAAAUUACAACGGCAGCACAAUGGAGGACUUGAACCACCAGCACCACCAAAGUCUCUCUGUCUCUGAAACCUGGGUCUACCAGUAAAUCUUCCACCUCUCCUUGGGCCUGUGACACUAAAUCCUCUUAUGGAAGAACUCGAGCUCGCUCCACUUCUCUUGAAAUUCUGUGUCUUACGGGGUCCCUGAGUGGAGAUACUUUUACCCUUGACAUCUUUCCUAUGAUUAUCAUUCUUAUCUUCAUCUUCCUCACUAUUACUAUGAAGGUUUUCGGAAUCCUCCAUCCGAACCAAAAUCUUAGAAAACUCAUGGUAAGUGGUGCAAGGAAUCGCACUAGCAAACAUCCGCCAUUUCCUCUUAGUUUCCUGCUUAAAACGGCGAAGCAUCUCGACCUGAUUACUAGCUGUAUCAGGAUCAUAGCGGGAUAAGUUUGUAAACUUCCUAUAAUACUCAUGCGUCGACAUAUUCUUUUGCUUCAAUUGAGUGAACUCCUGCUUCUUACGAUCAAUAUACUCCGGGGGAAUAAAUAUUUUCUUAAAAUUCUCUUUGAAUACUUCCCAAUCAGCUGCCGCUUCAGUUGACAUAAACUGAGUUUGAUUUUCCCACCAAGCUGCAGGCUCUCGUCCUAAAAACCAGGUAGUGGUCUCGACCCAUUUAUUAGCAGGAAGAUUCCCUUGACUCAGCAUCAACUGAAAGGUCUUCUCAAUACGGUCUAACAACUUUUUUGCCCCUUCAAGACCCUAAUUACCCAUGAAGCGGUCUAAUUUCAGAUUAUACAUAGUUUCUAGGGGUGUUCUCUGAGGAGGACGGAUUGCAGUCUGAAAGGCUUGGGCCAUCGCUUCCCCUAAUUGAGUUAUAUCAGGGAAAUUAGGCUCAGAAGCACGAUGUGAUUCCCUACGAGGUGACAUAGUUCUGACAGAAGACACCAAAAAGAUCAUUAGAGCAUUCAUAAUUUAUACAGGACUGCAAACCUAGGCUCUGAUACCAAACUGACACACCCCGAUCCUAGAAUCAAGGCGUGUUGGCCGUCACAUGAGCGUGACGUAACCAAAAGUAUACGCGGAAGCAAAAAGGUACAAGAAAUACGAAGGAAUAAAAACCAACUACUAGCAAUUAUAUCCAACUAACAUGCUAGAGUGAGUUUAAGUGCGAAACACACAUAAGCAGAGCAUAAGUACUAGGUGCAGUCAAGUAGGGCCAUUAUUAAAUUACAACACCCAAAGGUGAGUCCUACAUUUAAGUAGUCUGUCAGAACGCUGUGGGAAUCCUCGUGAGCCACCAACAUUACCAACUAGAACCUGGAGGGGCGCAAAACAAGAUUGAGUGGGUCAGUAAAACAAAGCUUUUUGAAAAUAUUUCAAUUAAUAACACUUCUAACCCCUUACUGUAAAACCUGUAUACUUUCCCAGAAAAAUAGUAUAUAUAUUACCAUAUAUAAUAGCAAAACUCAAAUCACAAGUCUUUAACACUUUUCAGGAAAAAUAUGCCAUGCUAUGCUUCAAAGCAUAAUAAGGAUGCAUCAAUAUAACAUAUGAAAUAAGGAAUCAACUAGAGACCCUGCAGCUGUCCUGUACGGUUAAUUCUAUAGCUCAAUAUUCAAUCCAACCGUAGUCAACAACUGUGACCUAUACGGCGCUACUCUGCACAUAAAAUCAGAACUACCAGAAGUAGUUUGUACGACAAGAAUGGUGUAAGAAUAUGCUCUAGUGCUUUUCUCAACAACAGCUGUAUAACAAUCUAAAGUCACCUACAAGUCGGAACCACCUCUAAUGGUCUGUACUACAUGUCAGAAACACCUCUAAUGGUCUGUACGACAUGCAGCUACUUGGAUCCAAGGUGAGCGUGUGGUGCGGGGUGAAUAAUAUAAGCACUAACACUAGGGAUGCAGGUUAUGAGCUCUCAACACAAUUCAAAUCAUCAAUAAAUCACAUGAACAACAUAAAGCUCACCUGAUACUCACCUGUGCGUCCACAACACCAUUUCACAUAUAUGCAUCAAAUACUAAUUCAUAUAUUUCAUAUUAUGUGUGCAUGGCAUUUUAAAACAUACUUUCAUUUAAAUUAAAUUUCUGGGAAAAGUCAGUAGUAUAUAAGUAUAUACAGAAAAUAACUGCCCACUCACUGGUAUGUCAAAGGGUCGUAACCCCAGUGACGCCCUUGAAUGCGCUCGCCCUCGGGAUAGGUCUCACCUAUAUGCGAAACAACUAUAAAAACGUUAUUUAAAGCACAUAGGCAAAACUAGCUAAUAACUUCUCAUACAUUGCUCAAUUUUGGUAUUUGAAUAUACCAACGCGAUCUACUCAACCUCAGGAUCAUCACCAAAUUUUUAGAAAUUUUUUUGGAAGCCUCACGCACCCUCACUCGUCGGCCAAGGCACGGCCAGAUGCGUCACCCAGACGCGGUACGUGCCUGGCACACGGGGUUGGGAUUGUGUCGCCGUUAGGAAUAUUAUGUGGAAUAUUCCACCUAAUCCUAACAGAAACCGUCAACUUAACUAACGGCGUCAAAAUAUUCCGUCAAAAUUGACGGAAUAUUCGUCGUCUUCAACCUCCAGCUCCGGUGACCGUCGCCGGCGCCGGAAACUGGGCAAAUUUUCAAACUCUUUAUUCUCCAUCGAUUCUCAACCAUUUCUCAUGAAAUUUACGCUAAAAUGAAGCCCUAAGUAUGUAGAAUCACGUUGCAUAAGUUUCAAGGUCUAAAAUCCACUAGAUCUUACCUGAGGAAGCUCGAUAAUCCGGCCAAA